rnacentral:snRNA from 1 species
UCAGAAUUGUUUGCAUUGGAUUUGGGAAAAUGUAAACCAUGAUAAGAGAAGAUUAGUAUGGCCCCUGAGCAAGGAUGACAUGCACAUAUUGAGCAAUGAUCCAAAUAUUU